rnacentral:rRNA from 1 species
UACACAUGCAAGUCGAGGGGAAACGACAUCGAAAGCUUGCUUUUGAUGGGCGUCGACCGGCGCACGGGUGAGUAACGCGUAUCCAACCUGCCCACCACUUGGGGAUAACCUUGCGAAAGUAAGACUAAUACCCAAUGAUAUCUCUAGAAGACAUCUGAAGGAGAUUAAAGAUUUAUCGGUGAUGGAUGGGGAUGCGUCUGAUUAGCUUGUUGGCGGGGUAACGGCCCACCAAGGCUACGAUCAGUAGGGGUUCUGAGAGGAAGGUCCCCCACAUUGGAACUGAGACACGGUCCAAACUCCUACGGGAGGCAGCAGUGAGGAAUAUUGGUCAAUGGACGAGAGUCUGAACCAGCCAAGUAGCGUGCAGGAUGACGGCCCUAUGGGUUGUAAACUGCUUUUAUAAGGGAAUAAAGUGAGUCUCGUGAGACUUUUUGCAUGUACCUUAUGAAUAAGGACCGGCUAAUUCCGUGCCAGCAGCCGCGGUAAUACGGAAGGUCCGGGCGUUAUCCGGAUUUAUUGGGUUUAAAGGGAGCGUAGGCCGGAGACUAAGCGUGUUGUGAAAUGUAGAUGCUCAACAUCUGCACUGCAGCGCGAACUGGUUUCCUUGAGUACGCACAAAGUGGGCGGAAUUCGUGGUGUAGCGGUGAAAUGCUUAGAUAUCACGAAGAACUCCGAUUGCGAAGGCAGCUCACUGGAGCGCAACUGACGCUGAAGCUCGAAAGUGCGGGUAUCGAACAGGAUUAGAUACC